rnacentral:rRNA from 1 species
UACGUAGGUGGCAAGCGUUGUCCGGAUUUACUGGGCGUAAGAGCGCGCAGGCGGUCGUUCAAGUCGCGUGUGAAAGCCCCCGGCUCAACUGGGGAGGGUCACGCGAUACUGAUCGACUCGAAGGCAGGAGAGGGUAGUGGAAUUCCCGGUGUAGUGGUGAAAUGCGUAGAGUAUCGGGAGGAACACCAGUGGCGAAGGCGACUACCUGGCCUGUUCUUGACGCUGAGGCGCGAAAGCU